rnacentral:rRNA from 1 species
AGGACGAACGCUGGCGGCGUGCCUAACACAUGCAAGUCGAGCGGAGUCAGUAAGAGGAAGUUUCGGAUGGAAUCUGUUGAUUAGCGGCGGACGGGUGAGUAACGCGUGAGCGACCAACCUUGCACAGGGGGAUAACGGACCGAAAGGUUCACUAAUACCGCAUGAGACCACGGUGUUGCAUGACACAGAGGUCAAAGGAGCAAUCCGGUGCAAGACGGGCUCGCGUCCGAUUAGGUAGUUGGAGGGGUAACGGCCCACCAAGCCUAUGAUCGGUAGCCGACCUGAGGGGGUGAUCGGCCACAUUGGAACUGAGAUACGGUCCAAACUCCUACGGGAGGCAGCAGUGGGGAAUAUUGGGCAAUGGGGGGAAAAACCCCUGACCCAGCAACGCCGCGUGAAGGAAGAAGGUUUUCGGAUUGUAAACUUCUGUCCUUGGUGAAGAGAAGAAGACGGUAGCCAAGGAGGAAGCCCCGGCUAACUACGUGCCAGCCGCAGC